CAGUGAUUAAUGCCAAAGCCCUGUUGCCUGGGGAGAGGGUGAUGCUUGACUUUCUUGUACAGCUGCAGUUUGUGUGGUGAAGGUGCUCCCAUAAUGUGGUUCGAUCAUUCAGCUGUGGUUUCGCUGGAUAGGGGUUUGUCUUUUGUCGACGAGCGACGUGAAAACUCGGAAAGGACACUCCAUCAUGUAUGAUGAGUGCAAUAAAAAGAUUCCAGUGAUUAAUGCCAAAGCCCCAUUGCCUGUGGAGAGGG